rnacentral:lncRNA from 1 species
GUCUACUCGUUAAGCAUUCAUUAAAUUUUCGAUUACACUACAACUUUAUUACAAUGAAAAUCACCCAGCGAAGAAAAUCGCCAACUCCCUCUACCCUAAACCCAUAAAAAAAAAAAACUGAAAACAAGAUGUAUCAUCAAUGCAAAUAAAAAUAAAUAUCUACUCGAGAUAUUUAUGGGAAAAUUAUUCAAGGCCCAUUUUGAAAUUUUCAAGGCUAGAACUCCUUUGAAGAUACUGGGAUUCAUUUAUCCCAUCAUAUGCAGUAUUAGACUCUUCGGAUAGUGAGUUUAGGGUACGGUAGUGAUUGAUUAUAACUUUCGUUAUGUACCGGAUGAUUUGAAUGACUUAUGUUCGGAGGGUGAAAAAAUUUACUUUGUUAAUAGAGACUUUUCCUUAGGGCGUAUUUGAGACAAUAGUGAUUCAGAAGAACUUUCGUUACGUACUGGAUGCUUUGAUUGACUAUGCUCGGAGGGUGAAAAAAUGUGCUUUGGUAAUAGAGACUUUACCAUGGGGCGUAUUUGAGACAGUAGUGAUUCAGAAGAGUUUUUGUUAUGUACUGGAAUUUGCUUUGUUAAUGCAGACUUUUCCUUGGGUCGUAUUUGAGACAGUAGUGAUUGAUUUGAUUGACUAUGCUCGGAGGGUGAAAAACUUUGCUUUGCUGACUUUUCCUUAGGGCGUAUUUGAGACAGUAGUGAUUGGCAAGAACUUCUAAUUAGUGCCCAAGAAUUUGGUUGACUACGUUCGGAAUGUAGUCUGGCUCCAUCUGCUGAAUUCUCCAUCAAUUUCAGUUGCGCUUUUCUAGACAAUGGAGUCUGUGAAUUUAAUCUAACAAAAGAGUGCAAACAGUUUAAAAAAAAAUUCUGGCAAAAGACUAAGAAUGAUAUAUUACUGAAAAUUUAUUCCAUAAAUGAAAGUUGAUAAUAAAAUAACAUACUCAUACCAUAAAUUAAAGUUACAAUCCUCAUAAUUAAUAAGCUAAUCCAGAAGAUAAGAAGUAUACUUCAUAACUAACUUGAGAGAAUACCUUGCUGCACCAAAACUUCAAAAAACUCUCAACUCCUCAGCUGUUGGGAUUCAUACUUCAUGCUGCUGCUAUUACUUUAUACAAAUGCUGCAAUUCUUUCU